AGCGAACGCUGGCGGCAGGCCUAACACAUGCAAGUCGAACGGACCCUUCGGGGUUAGUCGCGGACGGGUGAGUAACACGUGGGAACGUGCCUUUAGGUUCGGAAUAGCUCCUGGAAAAGGGUGGUAAUGCCGAAUGUGCCCUUCGGGGGAAAGAUUUAUCGCCUUUAGAGAGGCCCGCGUCUGAUUAGCUAGUUGGUGAGGUAAAGGCUCACCAAGGCGACGAUCAGUAGCUGGUCUGAGAGGAUGACCAGCCACAUUGGGACUGAGACACGGCCCAAACUCCUACGGGAGGCAGCAGUGGGGAAUCUUGCGCAAUGGGCGAAAGCCUGACGCAGCCAUGCCGCGUGAAUGAUGAAGGUCUUAGGAUUGUAAAAUUCUUUCACCGGGGACGAUAAUGACGGUACCCGGAGAAGAAGCCCCGGCUAACUUCGUGCCAGCCGCCGCGGUAAUAC
rnacentral:rRNA from 1 species